rnacentral:rRNA from 1 species
AUUGAACGCUGGCGGCAGGCCUAACACAUGCAAGUCGAGCGAGCGGCGGACGGGUGAGUAAUGUAUGGGGACUGCCCGAUCGAGGGGGAUAACUACUGGAAACGGUGGCUAAUACCGCAUAGUAUAGGAUACCCCAUAUGGGAUUAGCUAGUAGGUGGGGUAAAGGCACACCUAGGCGACGAAUUCUAGCUGGUCUGAGAGGCUGAUCAGCCACACGGGAACUGAGAAACGGCCCAGACUCCUCCGGAGGCAGCAGUGGGGAAUAUUGCACAAUGGGCGCAAGCCUGAUACAGCCAUGCCGAGUGUAUGAAGAAGGCCUUAGGGUUGUAAAGUACUUUCAGCGGGGAGGCGUUACCCGCAGAAGAAGCACCGGCUAACUCCGUGCCAGCAGCCGCGGUAAUUC